rnacentral:rRNA from 1 species
CUCGUAGGCGGUUUGUCGCGUCUGCUGUGAAAACUGGAGGCUCAACCUCCAGCCUGCAGUGGGUACGGGCAGACUAGAGUGCGGUAGGGGAGAUUGGAAUUCCUGGUGUAGCGGUGGAAUGCGCAGAUAUCAGGAGGAACACCAAUGGCGAAGGCAGGUCUCUGGGCCGUAACUGACGCUGAGGAGCGAAAGCAUGGGGAGCGAACA